UUUAAGUGCAACCAUAAGUUUCCGCGUCCAACUUUUACCGUUCGUUUUAUUUAAUUUGUUUUAAAAUUAGUAUUUUUGUUGUUAUGAGAUGAUAAAACAUGAAUACUACUUUACUCGUGACUUAUGUUUUUAAUUUUUUUCAAAAAUUUUUCAAAUAAAACGGACGGUUAAAGUUGGGCGUAAAAACUCAUGGCUGCAUUUAAA
rfam:Oryza glumipatula chromosome 11, whole genome shotgun sequence.